AUAGAGUAUGAAACUGAGGCCCAGGGUGAUUUUAAUGACACAGGGUCACACAGUAGUAUGCAUUGGAGGUAGAAACCAUGUCCUUUACCACUAGAGUCCUUCCCCUAUAAUGAGCUGCUUUGUACUUAUGAGGUCAUGGUUGAUAUCAUACAGAGACUAGAUUGGGGUGGGGUUGGGACAAGAGCCUGGCAGAAGAGGGUUAGAGGCUGGGUUUAGGAAUGCAGCUUUGGGACUCCAUCUAGGCUUGAGGGGCAAAAAAGAGAAAUUCCUUUAACGAAGAAUGAGCUUGGAGAAAUUGUAUCUUUUCCCUUGAGCCCCAUUAUAUCUGUGACUGUAUUCCGUGGAGCCUUCUGAAGACAUCAAGCAUCUGAUGGACCUCCAAUCGCCAUUCAGCAAAAAGAUGCUGCAAUACCAUGAAGAGGUCCAAAUCAGAGAUCCUCUGGCAGCCAGGAGUACUUGGCCCAGGUUUGCACCAGGCUGUCCCAAGAAGGAAAUUGAGGAGCAACUGUGCCUCAAAAUCAAAGAGUUGGAGGAGAAAGUGAAAGCACAGGAUACCCAGCUGAUGAUGGCCAGAACACAAUGGCUCCAGGUGCUGGCUAUAUUCAAAAAGCUGCAAAAGGAGCUUCAGGAAGAUGCUCGGAUCAGAGCGGAGGAGAGGAAACGUGAACAGAGGUAUGAAAACCUGUUUCAUGAAAUCCAAGUCAUCAGUACCCAGACCUGGAAACCUCAAGUCUCUAGAUUAGAGGACCAAUCCAAAGGGAACAAUAUUGUUGAACCCAGUCUCAGGCUCCUCUGUCCACUCCCUGAGGGACUCUCUCCCAGAUCUAACCUGAUUCCCAGGAACCUAGGGCUGCACUCUGGAGAGCAUGCUUCCUCAGCUCCUGUUCCACCCACUGGCCUCAUAAGACUGUACUCCCAAGGGUUGGUCCCAUGGAAUGCAGGCCCACCUGUGACCGCCAUGAUCAAGAAGAAGACCAAGGCCCUUCAGGCCAUUGCCCCGACACGGAGUAGUGACACACUGUUGAGCAGUGGUGGAGGAGAAGCAAUGGUUUGGAUAUCGCAACAGAAGACACCAUUACUACUGGGCAAGACACCAGCUGAAGCAGGAAGCUCUGGCCUUGGGAUAAGACUUGGGCACCCAAAUCUUCCACCACCAGAAGCUGUUCAAGAAAUAACGCAUUAAAUAACUAAACAGACAAAUAAAGAUUCAACUACAUGAAAGGACA
rnacentral:lncRNA from 1 species